rnacentral:lncRNA from 1 species
UCUUGAGAAUCCGCAAUCCACUCCGAUACCGACUGUUGGGAUUCUGCAAUGGAAGCAUCGAAUCGGAUUUUUACCACAAACCCGUCUCCUCAACAAAAGUUGAUACAAUUAUAAAGAGAGAAAAAAUAACAAAACAAAAAAUAUGCGGGUAAAAUAAGAUUCAUUAAAUAAGAGAAGAUUACACCUGACUCCUUUUCUGUAUAGAGUAGCUACAACCCGAGUUCUUUUUCUGAAUCUCUGCUACCCUUCUCUUGUCUUUUGUAGUCUCAGAAAAUAUCUCUCUCAUCAUGUGUACCCGUGCACAAGGUAUACCAAUGAUCCAUGGCUACGAAAGCCGCUCACGUCCUCUUGCACUCAUGCAUUAAGUGCAUCCAAAAUCAUGACCACCUUAGCCAUGCCAUAUGGGUGUGGCUAAUCCGUACCACUACCACCACAAUAAUAGCACAUAUGCUAUAUUUAUAGCUUACAUCAAAAGCUACCCAAAUCCUAAUCCAAUUAGAUUUCUACUAUAAUUAAUAUUUAAAUCUUAAUUUAUCUCCAACAGAUUUAAAUAUUAAUUCUAAUACUAUUAGGAUUCAACUACAAAUCUAGCCAAAUCCUAACAUUCUCCACCUUGGUUGGAUUUGUAGUCUUCAACCGCUACGUUGAACUCACCAAGCAAGCUCCAUUUUGAGCUUGUCUCCUCCACUCGAUGUUGCCGCAUCCGCCGCUCCGUCUCGAGUGAUUGCACCUUUGUGAACUUUUGGAAUCCAAAUUGAUUUUGCUCCCGUUCUGACUGUACUCCGGUUCUGACUGUACUCCCAUUCAGAACGUAUAAAUUCCCAUGCUUAUUCGCCUCGUACACGACCUGAUCUCACUUUCGGACCCUCAUAGCUCCACCUGAAGCCAAAAAAUCACAACCCUUCGAGUCCAAUGCGGCUAAAUGAGAUCAAACUGUGUUUUAACAUCGAUUGCUUCAAACGAUCGGUCACACCGUGCAAUGACGUCGAUCUUCUACAAAGAUCGGUAAUCCAGUGUUUUGACGUCGAUAUCUCCCAAAGAUCGAUAACCUUCGUCUUUGAUACCAAUUGUUGGGAAUCUGGUACUUGCCCUAAUACCGGAUCUUGAGAAUCCACAACUGUCACGCCCCGGAUUACCACAUUUCUCCGGGCACGCCAACAGACCCGCCGUAUACAAAAGAAUUUUCUCUGUAUACGAAGCGAUAGCUAUACCUGUACCUGUAAUCAUACAAAACUACAACUAGUAGUAUAGAGCUGCUCACAGAACUGUAAACAUAUCAAAAUAAAUGUCAGGUUCACUAUAUAUAUGUAGUCUCCAAGAUACUGACAUCACUUGCUCCAGCGAGUACUAGCAUAAGUAUAUAUAUGAACCAAAAAUCCAAAACUACCUGUAGAUGGUGCUCCUCUAGAAUUGCAACCAGGGAAGGGAUCUAGCUCGCGAUUCCCUUUCCACGAUCAGUAUCAGCAACAGCAGCAGCCGCAGAAGAAAGCUCUGCAAAAAGAGGUCAACAACUGGGUGUGAGAACAACUGCAAAAAGAAGUAGUCCUCAGUGGGUACCGCUACCGACCUCAAUGGCUUACCCACUAAGUCUACAGAAUGGUAUGCAAGAGAUAGUAAGGAAAGCUGAAAACCCUAUAGCUAUAUGCCCCCAUACUAUCACUAACCAACUCUAGCUAUUUGUAGAUAUGCAUCCCCUGCAACAACGACUAUACUGCCAAGGGACUGCCAACAGGCCCGUCCCGCAUGCGUCCGAGCUAUACCGCACACCACCAUUGAGGUGGCCGAUCCUAAAGCACCGUCCAAACAGGACUUCUACACAACAACACAAAAGCACAAAACCCGACUUCGGAGUAGCAUUCGUGGGCGCUACCCAACAGAGUAUGCAAGCUUGUCUCUGCUGAGCUCAAUCAGGCUCUCACAGACUAUAGUCAAAGCAAAUAGGUCUAACAACCAAAGCUCACAUGCCUUUGACACAAUUUGAUGCAAAUACAGAAAUCUAGGUCCACCGUCACCCGCGACGGCACUCGACAGUCUGAAGCAAUCUACACAGUACUGUAAAAUAAAUUUGGCAUCCUAGCACGAGCGUAAACCCAUCCUACACUAAUAUGAGUAUCUACCGCAUACAAACUGCGGCAAUACAAACAAAUCACAGCUCUUAAAGCUAAAUCUGGGUAUCUAUAGUUUUCUCCUAUGUCAAUUCCAAGUCCAAAAUGUAAAAUUAUGCUACUACUACCUAACUCCAAUUUCAGAUUUUAAACCUAAUCCAUGAAUUCGAGUACUAGCAAGAAAUUAAACACAUGAUACAUGUUAAUGAUAUAAAAGCUUAGGAGAUGUUCCGGCGAUUUCGGUAAACUUUAACCCACCUCAAAAAGCUAGUCCAACUACGGCGAGAAGUCGAGAGAAGGAAAAACACGCGCCUGGCCUCCAACGGCGCAACCGCUACGUCCACGCGCUCGAACGACUCGCCGACGCAACGUCGACGUCGAUCCGAGCUCAAGCCAUGGCCUCCACCAAGCACAUAAUCAAAACUAGAAAGAGAGAGAAAAAAAGGAUAAUUACUCCUUCUCAGCAGGUUGAGUUGAUAAGUGUUAAGAGGGAGUAGGUGGCAUACUUAUCCACCAACCCAAAAAGACUAUUCUACCUCUCACUAACUCAACAUCCCAGCUGGAGUACCGGUACCAGCCCAAUGUCGUACCGGUACUCAGCAUCAAUUAUCCCAACCCGAGAACAGCAGUUUGGAGAAUACACUGGGGUACCAGUACUCUCCUGCAUGGUACUGGUGCUCAAUACUGAAAACCUGCACUUUGCAGAUUUCAAUGUCAAACUCUGCUCUCGCGUCGCACUGAGUCUGUUUUGCAUCCAUUUCGCGCCAAAACGACUCCGACUUGUCUUGACACUCUCCAGAAGUGUUGCCAAACCUCAGAUGCUGAGAUCCACAAGCAACCCAAAAACUAGGGAUACUACAGCAACCCGCUUCGAUACUGACUGUUCAGAUUCCGCAACGGAAGCGUCGAAUCGGAUUUUUAUCAUAAAUCCGUCUCCUCAAUAAAAGAUAAUACAAAGAGAGAAAAAACAACCAAACAGAAAAUAUGCGGGUAAAAUAAGAUUCAUUAAAUAAGAGAAGAUUACACCUGACUCAUUUUCUGCAUAAAGUAGUUACAACCCAAGCUCUCUUUUUGAAUCUUUUCUACCCUUAUCUCAUCUUCUAUAGUCUCAGAAGACAUCUCUCUCAUCCUGUGCACCCGUGCACAAGGUAUACCAAUGACCCACAACUACAAAAGCUGCUUACGUCCUCUUGCACCCAUGCAUUAGGUGCAUCCAAAAUCAUAACCACCUUGGCUAUGCCAUAUGGGUGCGGCUAAUCCGUACCACCACCACCACAAUAAUAGUACAUAUGCUAUAUUUAUAGCUUACAUCAAAAUCUACUAAAAUCCUAAUCCAAUUAGAUUUCUACUCUAAUUAAUAUUUAAAUCUUAAUUUAUAUCCAACAUAUUUCAAUAUUAAUUCUAAUCCAAUUAAGAUUCAACUACAAAUCUAACCAAAUCCUAACACUUAUCUCUUAUCCCUCUAAAGGAGAGGAAAAAAAUAUUAAAAUG